AUCCAUCCGGACGGUGAGUACGCGUGAGAAUCUAGCUUCAGGUCUGGGACAACCACUGGAAACGGUGGCUAAUACCGGAUGUGCCGGAAGGUGAAAGGCUUGCUGCCUGAAGAUGAGCUCGCGUCCGAUUAGCUAGUAGGUGGGGUAAGAGCCUACCUAGGCGACGAUCGGUAGCUGGUCUGAGAGGAUGACCAGCCACACUGGGACUGAGACACGGCCCAGACUCCUACGGGAGGCAGCAGUGGGGAAUUUUCCGCAAUGGGCGAAAGCCUGACGGAGCAAUACCGCGUGAGGGAGGAAGGCUCUUGGGUUGUAAACCUCUUUUCUCAGGGAAGAACACAAUGACGGUACCUGAGGAAUCAGCAUCGGCUAACUCCGUGCCAGCAGCCNGCGGUNAAUACGGAGGAUGCNAAGCGUUAUCCGGNAAUGAUUGGGCGUAAAGCGUCCNGCAGGUGGCUGUGUUUAAGUCUUGCUGUCAAAGAAGCAAAGCUCAACUUUGUAAAGGCAGUGGAAACUACACGGGCUAG
rnacentral:rRNA from 1 species